UGGGAAGAGUCCUGGAUUCAGAGAUCAGAGGACCUGACUUUGAAACCCGGCCAUGACAGUUGGCAACUAUGAGACCUCAAGUCUCUGGACUUCUCAGGACCGUUUCUCCAUCUCUUCCUCUCUGAAAUGAAGGGGUUCAUCUAGAUCACCUCUAAGUCAGAAAUGUGCUGAGUUGACGUCCCAUGGCAGGACAAAAAUCAAGAUCUCUAGCGAUGGUCCAGAGCCAGGGGAUGACCUUGGGAUCUUCAGUGUGUGACCAAGCCCUAAGUACCCUGCUUUAGCCACCUUCAUGGCCAUUGGAACAAAAUGUUUUCAUCUGCCCGUUUCACUAAGGUCAUUUUACAGUGGAGGAAACUGAGGCAAAUGUCUAGUGUCACACAAUUAGUAAUUGUCUGAAGCCAGAUUUGAACUCAGGAAGAAGAGUCUUCCUGUUCCCAAGAUAAGGAAGAUGAGAAUGAAGAAAGUUAAAUGACAUACCCUAAGUUAUGGAGUCUGAGGCAAGAUUCUGAGCUCAUGGCUUCUUGAUCUCAAGUCUAAGUCUUUAUUUAAUAUGUUGCCUAGCCACCUCAUAAAGAGGGAGACAUGAAGGAGACAUUAUGCCUAGAAAAGGAAGGAGAUUGGUUAUGUGGUAAGAGUAUAGUUCAAAUGCUCCAUUGGAUACCCAUGUAAUGCCAAGAGAACCAGAGAAAAUCUAUCAACAUAUGGGUGAACCCCAAUAAGAAAAUUGUGGAAGAACAAGAAGAAUCUUUCAAGAUGAAAGGGCAUGUCUAGGUUGUGAUCUUUAAUCCUAGAAGGAAUACUCACAAUGAGGAGAUCACAUCAAAGUAUCAAAAUUUUUAUUUCUCUGGAUCUUGUGUCUAGUCCCAGAAUUUUCCAUUUGUGUAAGUGUAGACUUCUUCUCUCAAGGGAAGAAACAAUGGAGUCUUCAUAGAAAUCCAUAUAUGCCAUCAAGAGGCCAUUUCUUCAUAUCUUCCUACUAUUCCUGGGUCAUAAAGUCAUAAAAACUACUUCUAAAAAAGACAUGUCUUAGAGAGAUUUUGAAAUAUGUAGCUUGUAUCAGUCUUCUUACUACAUGGUCAAUAGCAGCUUCUUUACUUGGAUAUAGG
rnacentral:lncRNA from 1 species